rnacentral:rRNA from 1 species
GACGAACGCUGGCGGCGUGCUUAACACAUGCAAGUCGAACGGUAAGGCCCUUCGGGGUACACGAGUGGCGAACGGGUGAGUAACACGUGGGUGAUCUGCCCUGCACUUCGGGAUAAGACUGGGAAACUGGGUCUAAUACCGGAUAGGACCCUGGGAUGCAUGUCCUGGGGUGGAAAGCUUUUGCGGUGUGGGAUGGGCCCGCGGCCUAUCAGCUUGGUGGUGGGGUGAUGGCCUACCAAGGCGACGACGGGUAGCCGGCCUGAGAGGGUGACCGGCCACACUGGGACUGAGAUACGGCCCAGACUCCUACGGGAGGCAGCAGUGGGGAAUAUUGCACAAUGGGCGCAAGCCUGAUGCAGCGACGCCGCGUGAGGGAUGACGGCCUUCGGGUUGUAAACCUCUUUCAGCACCGACGAAGCGCAAGUGACGGUAGGUGCAGAAGAAGGACCGGCCAACUACGUGCCAGCAGCCGCCGUAA